rnacentral:rRNA from 1 species
UACGGAGGGUGCGAGCGUUGUCCGGAAUCACUGGGCGUAAAGGGCGCGUAGGUGGCUCGUGAAGCGUGCGGUGAAAGUUCGGGGCUCAACCCUGAAUCGGCCGUCGAUACUCCCGGGCUCGAGCACUGUAGAGGCAGAUGGAAUUCCGGGUGUAGCGGUGGAAUGCGUAGAGAUCCGGAAGAACACCGGUGGCGAAGGCGGUCUGCUGGGCAGUUGCUGACACUGAUGCGCGACAGCGUGGGGAGCAAACAGG